CUCGAAGGGGGUGUCCCUCAGCCCGGAUUGCGAGAGGGCGCAGGCAAGGCCGAGGGACCCCACCCGUGCACU
rfam:Myotis lucifugus cont2.51195, whole genome shotgun sequence.